UGGCGGACGGGUGAGAAACACGUGGGCAACCUGCCUCAAAGAGGGGAAUAGCCCUCCGAAAGGAGGAUUAAUACCGCAUAAAGUUAGAGUUUCGCAUGAAACUUUAACCAAAGGAGUAAUCUGCUUUGAGAUGGGCCCGCGUCCCAUUAGCUAGUUGGUAAGGUAAUGGCUUACCAAGGCAACGAUGGGUAGCCGACCUGAGAGGGUGAUCGGCCACAUUGGAACUGAGACACGGUCCAGACUCCUACGGGAGGCAGCAGUGGGGAAUAUUGCGCAAUGGGGGAAACCCUGACGCAGCAACGCCGCGUGGGUGAUGAAGGUUUUCGGAUCGUAAAACCCUGUUUUCUGGGACGAUAAUGACGGUACCAGAUGAGGAAGCCACGGCUAACUACGUGCCAGCAGCCGCGGUAAU
rnacentral:rRNA from 1 species